ACUCCUACGGGAGGCAGCAGUGGGGAAUAUUGCACAAUGGGGGAGCCCUGAUGCAGCCAUGCCGCGUGUGUGAAGAAGGCCUUCGGGUUGUAAAGCACUUUCAGUUGUGAGGAAAGGGAUGUAGUUAAUACCUGCAUUCUGUGACGUUAGCAACAGAAGAAGCACCGGCUAACUCCGUGCCAGCAGCCGCGGUAAUACGGAGGGUGCGAGCGUUAAUCGGAAUUACUGGGCGUAAAGCGUGCGUAGGCGGUUUGUUAAGCGAGAUGUGAAAGCCCCGGGCUCAACCUGGGAACCGCAUUUCGAACUGGCAAACUAGAGUCUUGUAGAGGGGGUGAGAAUUCCAGGUGUAGCGGUGAAAUGCGUAGAGAUCUGGAGGAAUACCGGUGGCGAAGGCGGCCCCUGGACAAAGACUGACGCUCAGGCACGAAAGCGUGGGGAGCAAACAGGAUUAGAUACCCUGGUAGGU
rnacentral:rRNA from 1 species